GGUGAAGAACGCAGCAAAAUGCGAUAAGUAAUGUGAAUUGCAGAAUUCAGUGAAUCAUCGAAUCUUUGAACGCACAUUGCGCCCGCCAGUAUUCUGGCGGGCAUGCCUGUUCGAGCGUCAUUUCAACCCUCAAGCACAGCUUGGUGUUGGGACUCGCGUUAAUUCGCGUUCCUCAAAUUGAUUGGCGGUCACGUCGAGCUUCCAUAUCGUAGUAGUAAAACCCUCGUUACUGGUAAUCGUCGCGGCCACGCCGUUAAACCCCAACUUCUGAAUGUUGACCUCGGAUCAGGUAGGAAUACCCGCUGAACUUAAGCAUAUCAUAGCGGAGGA
rnacentral:misc_RNA from 1 species